rnacentral:rRNA from 1 species
UACGUAGGGUGCGAGCGUUGUCCGGAAUUAUUGGGCGUAAAGAGCUUGUAGGCGGUUUGUCGCGUCUGCUGUGAAAAUCCGGGGCUCAACCCCGGACUUGCAGUGGGUACGGGCAGACUAGAGUGUGGUAGGGGAGACUGGAAUUCCUGGUGUUGCGGUGGAAUGCGCAGAUAUCAGGAGGAACACCGAUGGCGAAGGCAGGUCUCUGGGCCACUACUGACGCUGAGAAGCGAAAGCAUGGGGAGCGAACAGG